rnacentral:lncRNA from 1 species
AAAUUCAUUGGUUUUGAGCUCUUGCAAAAAUAAACUGUCUUUUUGAAUUUCGUAGAUUCGUACCGAAUUUUCAAAAAACUGACCAAAAUGCUCUUAUUCCAUAUUCUCUCUCUCUCUCUCUCUCUCUCUCUCUCUCUCUCUCUCUCUCUCUUUUUCUCAUUUUUUUUUUCUUUCUCUCCGAAGUGGGCGGCGGCGGAGGAGGCGGAGGCGGAGGCGGCCCACCUCGCCUCUGUCCCGCGCGCCCUCGCCCUCGCCCUCGCCCGCGCACCCUCAUUUUUUUUGUUUUCUCUCUGACCCUCCUCCACCGCCUCCCCAGUUCUUUACAACAAUAAAGAGGACAAUAUCACGUCAUCUUCCUCUCCUUUUUUUCUCAUUCUUUUUUUUUUCUCUUCGACCCACCUCCACCUCCUCUGUAACCCUCCACGACGGUAAUGAGAACAGCGCCGCAUCUUCUUCCUUCGCCUUUGCAGGCACCGGCACAGAUGCCGGCACCGGAGUAGGAGAACUCAUAGCGAGUGCGGAUAAGAUCGGAACGGAGUAAAAAAGAUAUAGAAAAAUAAAAAAAUAAAGAAUAAAAUAUAAAGAAAAGUAUUUUUUCUCUAUAAGAAAAAUGAAGAAUUAGAGAGAAAAAAGGAAGAUGAUAAAGUUGCACUAUUUCAAGAGAAUGUUACACUAUUUUAGAGAAAAUUUACACUCUUUAAGAGAAAAAAUUAUACUUUUUAGGACGAAAGUUGUAUUUUUUGAACGAAAGUUGCACGAACGAAAGUUACACUCUUUGGAAAAAAAUUAUACUGUUUCUCCUUUUCCUCCUCUUUUUUCUCCUUCCUCUUCAUUUUCAUGUGAUUUUCCUCCGCCAAUCUCUUCUUCGCCCUCCACCUCUGUCGGCAAAUCCUCUACCCUCGCCGAGGUCGCGCUACCCAGCCCUCCUCGCCUCCAACCAUGCUGAGGCCUCACCGCACCGUGCCGCCCUCCUUGCGCACGCCCCGCCCUCCUCGCCUCCAACCCAGUCGAGGCCUCACCGCAACCCUCUUUUUUUUUCUU